rnacentral:rRNA from 1 species
AACGAACGCUGGCGGCAUGCCUUACACAUGCAAGUCGAACGGUAACAGGUUAAGCUGACGAGUGGCGAACGGGUGAGUAAUUUAUCGGAACGUGCCCAGUCGUGGGGGAUAACUGCUCGAAAGAGCAGCUAAUACCGCAUACGACCUGAGGGUGAAAGCGGGGGAUCGCAAGACCUCGCGCGAUUGGAGCGGCCGAUAUCAGAUUAGGUAGUUGGUGGGGUAAGAGCCCACCAAGCCAACGAUCUGUAGCUGGUCUGAGAGGACGACCAGGCACACUGGGACUGAGACACGGCCCAGACUCCUGCGGGAGGAAGCAGUGGGGAAUUUUGGACAAUGGGCGCAAGCCUGAUCCAGCCAUGCCGCGUGCGGGAAGAAGGCCUCCGGGUUGUAAACCGCUUUUGUCAGGGAAGAAAAGGUUCUGGUUAAUACCUGGGACUCAUGACGGUACCUGAAGAAUAAGCACCGGCUAACUACGUGCCAGCCGCCGCCGUAA